rnacentral:rRNA from 1 species
GGGUUGUGAGGUUAAGCGACUAAGCGUACACGGUGGAUGCCCUGGCAGUCAGAGGCGAUGAAGGGCGUGCUAAUCUGCGAUAAGCGCCGGUAAGGUGAUAUGAACCGUUAUAACCGGCGAUACCCGAAUGGGGAAACCCAGUGUGACUCGUCACACUAUCAUUAACUGAAUCCAUAGGUUAAUGAGGCGAACCGGGGGAACUGAAACAUCUAAGUACCCCGAGGAAAAGAAAUCAACCGAGAUUCCCCCAGUAGCGGCGAGCGAACGGGGAGGAGCCCAGAGCCUGAAUCAGCAUGUGUGUUAGUGGAAGCGUCUGGAAAGGCGCGCGAUACAGGGUGACAGCCCCGUACACAAAAGCGCAUGUGCUGUGAGCUCGAUGAGUAGGGCGGGACACGUGGUAUCCUGUCUGAAUAUGGGGGGACCAUCCUCCAAGGCUAAAUACUCCUGACUGACCGAUAGUGAACCAGUACCGUGAGGGAAAGGCGAAAAGAACCCCGGCGAGGGGAGUGAAAAAGAACCUGAAACCGUGUACGUACAAGCAGUGGGAGCACCCUUUGGGUGUGACUGCGUACCUUUUGUAUAAUGGGUCAGCGACUUAUAUUCUGUAGCAAGGUUAACCGAAUAGGGGAGCCGGAGGGAAACCGAGUCUUAACCGGGCGUUAAGUUGCAGGGUAUAGACCCGAAACCCGGUGAUCUAGCCAUGGGCAGGUUGAAGGUUGGGUAACACUAACUGGAGGACCGAACCGACUAAUGUUGAAAAAUUAGCGGAUGACCUGUGGCUGGGGGUGAAAGGCCAAUCAAACCGGGAGAUAGCUGGUUCUCCCCGAAAGCUAUUUAGGUAGCGCCUCGUGAAUUCAUCUCCGGGGGUAGAGCACUGUUUCGGCUAGGGGGCCAUCCCGGCUUACCAACCCGAUGCAAACUGCGAAUACCGGAGAAUGUUAUCACGGGAGACACACGGCGGGUGCUAACGUCCGUCGUGAAGAGGGAAACAACCCAGACCGCCAGCUAAGGUCCCAAAGUCAUGGUUAAGUGGGAAACGAUGUGGGAAGGCCCAGACAGCCAGGAUGUUGGCUUAGAAGCAGCCAUCAUUUAAAGAAAGCGUAAUAGCUCACUGGUCGAGUCGGCCUGCGCGGAAGAUGUAACGGGGCUAAACCAUGCACCGAAGCUGCGGCAGCGACACUGUGUGUUGUUGGGUAGGGGAGCGUUCUGUAAGCCUGCGAAGGUGGCCUGUGAGGGUUGCUGGAGGUAUCAGAAGUGCGAAUGCUGACAUAAGUAACGAUAAAGCGGGUGAAAAGCCCGCUCGCCGGAAGACCAAGGGUUCCUGUCCAACGUUAAUCGGGGCAGGGUGAGUCGACCCCUAAGGCGAGGCCGAAAGGCGUAGUCGAUGGGAAACGGGUUAAUAUUCCCGUACUUGGUGUUACUGCGAAGGGGGGACGGAGAAGGCUAUGUUGGCCGGGCGACGGUUGUCCCGGUUUAAGCGUGUAGGUGUGUGUUCCGUGUAAAUCCGGUUCACUUUAACACUGAGGCGUGACGACGAGGCACUACGGUGCUGAAGCAACAAAUGCCCUGCUUCCGGAAAAGCCUCUAAGCAUCAGGUAACAUCAAAUCGUACCCCAAACCGACACAGGUGGUCAGGUAGAGAAUACCAAGGCGCUUGAGAGAACUCGGGUGAAGGAACUAGGCAAAAUGGUGCCGUAACUUCGGGAGAAGGCACGCUGACACGUAGGUGAAGUGAUUUACUCAUGGAGCUGAAGUCAGUCGAAGAUACCAGCUGGCUGCAACUGUUUAUUAAAAACACAGCACUGUGCAAACACGAAAGUGGACGUAUACGGUGUGACGCCUGCCCGGUGCCGGAAGGUUAAUUGAUGGGGUCAGCGCAAGCGAAGCUCCUGAUCGAAGCCCCGGUAAACGGCGGCCGUAACUAUAACGGUCCUAAGGUAGCGAAAUUCCUUGUCGGGUAAGUUCCGACCUGCACGAAUGGCGUAAUGAUGGCCGGGCUGUCUCCACCCGAGACUCAGUGAAAUUGAACUCGCUGUGAAGAUGCAGUGUACCCGCGGCAAGACGGAAAGACCCCGUGAACCUUUACUAUAGCUUGACACUGAACAUUGAGCCUUGAUGUGUAGGAUAGGUGGGAGGCUUUGAAGUGUGGACGCCAGUCUGCAUGGAGCCGACCUUGAAAUACCACCCUUUAAUGUUUGAUGUUCUAACGUGGACCCGUUACCCGGGUUGCGGACAGUGUCUGGUGGGUAGUUUGACUGGGGCGGUCUCCUCCUAAAGAGUAACGGAGGAGCACGAAGGUUGGCUAAUCCUGGUCGGACAUCAGGAGGUUAGUGCAAUGGCAUAAGCCAGCUUGACUGCGAGCGUGACGGCGCGAGCAGGUGCGAAAGCAGGUCAUAGUGAUCCGGUGGUUCUGAAUGGAAGGGCCAUCGCUCAACGGAUAAAAGGUACUCCGGGGAUAACAGGCUGAUACCGCCCAAGAGUUCAUAUCGACGGCGGUGUUUGGCACCUCGAUGUCGGCUCAUCACAUCCUGGGGCUGAAGUAGGUCCCAAGGGUAUGGCUGUUCGCCAUUUAAAGUGGUACGCGAGCUGGGUUUAGAACGUCGUGAGACAGUUCGGUCCCUAUCUGCCGUGGGCGCUGGAGAACUGAGGGGGGCUGCUCCUAGUACGAGAGGACCGGAGUGGACGCAUCACUGGUGUUCGGGUUGUCAUGCCAAUGGCACUGCCCGGUAGCUAAAUGCGGAAGAGAUAAGUGCUGAAAGCAUCUAAGCACGAAACUUGCCCCGAGAUGAGUUCUCCCUGAGACUUAGAGUCUCCUGAAGGAACGUUGAAGACGACGACGUUGAUAGGCCGGGUGUGUAAGCGCAGCGAUGCGUUGAGCUAACCGGUACUAAUGAACCGUGAGGCUUAACCUUACAACGCCGAAG